CCUUGAGCGUGGCCUUGGUCUGCGGGAUCGCUGUUUCCUACGUGAUAUAUCGACUGGGACAGGAUGAGGAGAGGGCACAGCUUGCCGCGCUUUAUGAAAAUAUCCAGAUGCCACUGUCAGGAGACGAAGAGGAGGCCUUCAGGGCCGGGCGCCCAGGCGAGGCUGGGUAUCUGCUUUCGGGGAACGAGAAGGAGCUGGCGGGGUUCAUCAAUUCAGCUAUUAGAUCAAAAAGAAGACAGCAUCUUGAAGGAGCGGGAUUGGAGAGCGUGCAAAAGCAGUAGAGGAAGCACAGCAUGG